rnacentral:lncRNA from 1 species
AUGCCCGUUAGGUCCCUGUUCGGUGUUCCCUGUUUGGUGGCCCCGGUUCGGUGUCCCAGUUCGGUCCCUGUUCUGUCCCGGUCCAGUCACGGUUCUGUCCAAGUUCAGUCCCUGUUCUGUCCCGGUCCAGUCACGGUUCUGUCCAAGUUCAGUCCCUGUUCUGUCCCGGUUCGGUGUCCCCGGUCUGGUCCCGGUUCGGUCCCGGUUCGGUGUCCCUGUUCAGUCCCGGUCCGGUCCCGAUUCAGUCCCGGUUCGGUGUCCCGGUUCAGUCCCGGUCCGGUCCCGGUUCUGUCCCGGUUCGGUGUCCCUGUUCAGUCCCGGUACGGUCCCGAUUCAGUCCCGGUUCGGUGUCCCGGUUCAGUCCCGGUCCGGUCCCGGUUCUGUCCCGGUUCGGUGUCCCCGGUCCGGUCCCGCCCCGUGGCUGCAGUACCGCCCGUGACCGCCACGCGGCGCGAGCUCCCCAGACGCCGCGCGGGGGGCGUGGCCUCCCUGCGAUGGGCGCGGUCUCCGCGCGGGGGCGUGGCCGGCGCGGCUCCGCGUGUACCGGAAGUGACGUCACACGUGCGCCGGCGGCGUCGCCAUCAUGGCGGGCAGGGGGGCCUGCCGCGUCCCGGAGCGGUGGACGGAGUACGCCCCGCUGGGCCGCCGGGUGCCGGGCACGCGCUUCGUGGCCUUCAAGGUGCCCCUGAGCAAGGUGAGGGGGGCUGGGGGGGUCCCCCGGGGGAAUUCCCGAUCCCCAAAUCCAGAGGGGCUUUGGGAGGGGUCGGCCUGGCAGCAGCUGGGCUCUGCUCCAGGGAGCGGGGACGGGGGAGAGGAACCAGUGCAGGGUGGGCAGGAGGGGGAAUUUCCUCCUGGGAAGGGCAGGAAAAUUUGGGACAAGAGANNNNNNNNNNUCAGCUCCAGGGUGGGCAGCAGGGGGAAUUUCCUCCUGGGAAGGGCAUGGAGGUUUGGAAUGGGGACAGGAGGAGAGAAAUCAGCUCCACGGUGGACAUGAGGAGGAAUUUCUUCCUGGGAAAGGCAGGAGAGUUUGGGACAAGAGAGAAAUCAGCUCCAGGGUGGACGUGA